CAUGGUUCGGUGGGAGUCCAAGUAUCAACUUCAAGGUGCGAGGGGGUGCGCGAGAAGUACAAUUCGCAGGCCUCGUGGGUGGAGUAAAUAGAGUUGAAUCAGGUGGAGCACGGCCUCGUGUCAGGUGGAGCACGGGAUGAUUUGAGUCGGGUGGAGCGGGCUUAGGAAGGCUCUAGGGAAAUUGCUGAGACACCCAGGACGUGGUGAGACACCCAGGACGUGGUGGAGUAAUAUUAGAGUCAAGCAAGGCUCUUGAAGGACUCAAAAAGUAUUUGAAUCGGGUGGAGCAUGGCUCGGGAUGGCUCUAGGAAAAACUGCUGGGAGUAGUAUUAGAGUCGAGCAGAGAGCUCUUGAAGGAUUCAAAGAAGGUGUG
rnacentral:lncRNA from 1 species